UACGAAGGGGGCUAGCGUUGCUCGGAAUUACUGGGCUUAAAGCGCACGUAGGCGGCUUUCUAAGUCGGGGGUGAAAUCCUGGAGCUCAACUCCAGAACUGCCUUCGAUACUGGAGAGCUUGAGUCCGGGAGAGGUGAGUGGAACUGCGAGUGUAGAGGUGAAAUUCGUAGAUAUUCGCAAGAACACCAGUGGCGAAGGCGGCUCACUGGCCCGGUACUGACGCUGAGGUGCGAAAGCGUGGGGAUCAAACAGG
rnacentral:rRNA from 1 species